CUGUCCAUGAGUCGGAUCUGGCUUUCGGGUCUGGCCUGUUUCAGGCAGUUCUUGGGAUGAAAUACUAGGCCCGAAUGCCUGCGUGGGCCUAAAAUUUUAGCCCGUUUAUUAACAGUCCAGGCCCGAAAUAUUGGGGUGCACUUGAUGGACAGCCCAGAUCUUGUCUAGGUCCGUCAAAAGUUUAAAAUUGUAAACUUGAAGCAUGCAACUUAUGGACUGAUUGGAUAGGGCCCCCAUGAUGAACGGUUCAGAUCAUUGGUCAAAAAUUUCUCUAUCCAUUUUCCUAACCAUUGAUUGAAUUUUUAGAAUUAUCCAUCAAAGGUGGGCCACAUGAUGAAUGGCUUGGAUCUAUGAUUGGACCAUUUUUAUAUUAUAUUUGAUUUCAUGGUGGAACCAAACGCACCCU